UACGUAGGGGGCGAGCGUUGUCCGGAUUUAUUGGGCGUAAAGAGCUCGUAGGCGGUUUGGUAAGUCGGGUGUGAAAUCUCCACGCUCAACGUGGAGGGGCCACUCGAUACUGCCAUGACUCGAGUCCGGUAGAGGAGUGUGGAAUUCCCGGUGUAGCGGUGAAAUGCGCAGAUAUCGGGAGGAACACCGGUGGCGAAGGCGGCGAUCUGGACGAUGACUGACGCUGAGACGCGAAAGCGUGGGGAGCAAACAGG
rnacentral:rRNA from 1 species